rnacentral:rRNA from 1 species
UCGGGAAUUUUGCACAAUGGCCGAAAGGCUGAUGCAGCAACGCCGCGUGAGCGAAGAAGGCCUUCGGGUUGUAAAGCUCUGUUGCCUGCGAAGAAGGGCCCUGUCAGGAAAUGGGCGGGGUUUGACGGUAGCAGGCGAGGAAGCCCCGGCAAACUACGUGCCAGCAGCCGCGGUAAUACGUAGGGGGCGAGCGUUGUCCGGAAUUACUGGGCGUAAAGGGCGUGUAGGCGGCCUGUUAAGUCAGGGGUGAAAGACCGGGGCUCAACCCCGGGGAUGCCUCUGAAACUGGCGGGCUUGAGUGCUCUAGAGGGCAGUGGAAUUCCCGGUGUAGCAGUGAAAUGCGUAGAGAUCGGGAGGAACACCAGUGGCGAAGGCGGCUGCCUGGGGAGUCACUGACGCUGAGGCGCGAAAGCUAGGGGAGCAAACAGG